GGGGGUGAUCGGUUUCGACGGUGAUCGUCGAACCAGGAGAAGCGGGUCGAGGACGCACGGUUAUCUCGUCAACGCUCCGUGCAAACCAAUAGGUGCCAAUACAAACCGCACCGACUUCGCCCUCGCCGCCUGAGCGAGUCCCGAAGUCCGUUGGCCUGAGUACGCUCUCGACUCAGUAACCAGCGUCAUCUAGAGAGCCACUGCUGGUAAUCGUCGUCAGUGCGAUUGCCGGGACUUUUAGCUGACUGGGCCUGUCCACGGCUUGCCUGUGUGACCGUGGGGGCCGAGAAAAUCACAGCAGGCUGCACCCGGAGAAUCCCUGGUACUGCGUCACCGGACGCGGGUUCGAUUCCCGCCACCUCCACCC
rfam:Cellulomonas sp. Root930 contig_2, whole genome shotgun sequence.